CACCUCUAGCAUUACUAGUAUUAGAGGCACUGCCUGCCCAGUGACAUUAGUUUAACGGCCGCGGUAUCCUGACCGUGCAAAGGUAGCAUAAUCAUUUGUUCCUUAAUUAGGGACUUGUAUGAAUGGCCCCACGAGGGUUUAACUGUCUCUUACUUUUAAUCAGUGAAAUUGACCUUCCCGUGAAGAGGCGGGAAUAAAAAAAUAAGACGAGAAGACCCUAUGGAGCUUAAAUUAAAGUGUUCAACAAAAUUUAAACCUAGUCCGACAGGAACAAUAUUAUUUUAACUGAACAACAAAUUUUGGUUGGGGUGACCUCGGAGUACAGUAAAACCUCCGAGCAAUUUAAACUAAGACUUACCCGUCAAAGUGAUUCAACUUAUUGAUCCAAUCCCAUUGAUCAACGAAACAAGUUACCCUAGGGAUAACAGCGCAAUCCUAUUUGAGAGUUCAUAUCGACAAUAGGGUUUACGACCUCGAUGUUGGAUCAGGACACCCAAAUGGUGCAGCAGCUAUUAAAGGUUCGUUUGUUCAA
rnacentral:rRNA from 1 species